rnacentral:rRNA from 1 species
CGCGGCAAGACGGAAAGACCCCGUGAACCUUUACUAUAGCUUGACACUGAACAUUGAGCCUUGAUGUGUAGGAUAGGUGGGAGGCUUUGAAGCGUGGACGCCAGUCUGCGUGGAGCCAACCUUGAAAUACCACCCUUUAAUGUUUGAUGUUCUAACCUGGCGCCGUGAUCCGGCGUGGGGACAGUGUCUGGUGGGUAGUUUGACUGGGGCGGUCUCCUCCUAAAGAGUAACGGAGGAGCACGAAGGUUGGCUAAUCCUGGUCGGACAUCAGGAGGUUAGUGCAAUGGCAUAAGCCAGCUUGACUGCGAGCGUGACGGCGCGAGCAGGUGCGAAAGCAGGUCAUAGUGAUCCGGUGGUUCUGAAUGGAAGGGCCAUCGCUCAACGGAUAAAAGGUACUCCGGGGAUAACAGGCUGAUACCGCCCAAGAGUUCAUAUCGACGGCGGUGUUUGGCACCUCGAUGUCGGCUCAUCACAUCCUGGGGCUGAAGUAGGUCCCAAGGGUAUGGCUGUUCGCCAUUUAAAGUGGUACGCGAGCUGGGUUUAGAACGUCGUGAGACAGUUCGGUCCCUAUCUGCCGUGGGCGCUGGAGAAUUGAGGGGGGCUGCUCCUAGUACGAGAGGACCGGAGUGGACGCAUCACUGGUGUUCGGGUUGUCAUGCCAAUGGCAUUGCCCGGUAGCUACAUGCGGAAGAGAUAAGUGCUGAAAGCAUCUAAGCACGAAACUUGCCCC